rnacentral:rRNA from 1 species
CCUACGGGGUGCAGCAGUGGGGAAUAUUGGUCAAUGGUCGUAAGACUGAACCAGCAACGUCGCGUGCAGGAAGACGGCCUUCGGGUUUUAAACUUCUUUUUAUAGGGAAGUGCAGUACACGGUACCUGUCGAUUAAUCCACGGCUAACUACGUGCAAGCCGCCGCGGUAAUACGGAGGAUGCGAGCGUUAUCCGUAGUUAUGGGGUUUAAAGGGUGCGUUGGCUGAUUUUUAAGUCAGCGGUAAAAUCUUGGGGUUCAACCCCGUCCAGCCGUUGAAACUGGGGAUCUAGAGUGUGCGAGAGGUAUGCGGAAUGCGUGGUGGAGCGGUGAAAUGCAUAGAUAUCACGAAGAACCCCGAUUGCGAAGGCAGCAUACCGGUGCACAACUGACGCUGAGGCACGAAAGCGUGGGUAUCGAACAGGAUUAGAUACCCGUGUAGUC